rnacentral:sRNA from 1 species
GCGUGAAGGAUAACGUUGCGUCAGCAACGGCCCGAAGGGCGAGGCGAAGCCGAGUCAUCCUGCACGACCCACCA